rnacentral:rRNA from 1 species
AACGGCGAGUGAAGCGGUCACAGCUUAAUCCUCAAUCCUGCGCUCUCCAGCGUUUGGAAUUGUAGUCUUGGUUUCUGAAUGGCACUGGAUGACGGGUAACAAGAUGGAAAUCUUCGGUCGUAGAGGGUGACAACCCCGUAUGUCUGUCGUUCCGGUGCCGCUUUUCAGAUUCUCAUCGAGUAGCGUUCCUUGGGAAUGGAGCGUGAAGUGGGUGGUGAUUUCCAUCCAAAGCUAAAUAUUGGCGAGAGACCGAUAGCGAACAAGUACCGUGAGGGAAAGAUGAAAAGCACUUUGGAGAGAGAGUUAAACAGUAUGCGAAAUCGUUGGAAGCAAGCGAAUCAGUGGGUUUGGGCACGGUUCUGCGUUCUGAGCACUCGGUCGGGCGUGACUUUCCUUCGGGAUUGACCGCCUUACUUUUUGUCGCUCGGUCGUGGGAUGAGGUUUUGGUGCUCGACUUCGGUCAGCCUUCUGAUCCGACCCGUCUUGAAACACGGACCAAGGAGUCUAAUAUGUGUGCGAGUGUUCGGGUGUCAAACCCCAACGCGCAGGUAACCCAAAUCGCGUUAGUCCGUAUGGACGCCUCGCGGGUAGUGUGAUUUAUUCCCUAACAAGA